UUUAUUAGAAAAUCUAUUGACUAGGUAGUGUGGUAUCUGUUCUUAUCAGCUUAACAUCUGAUAGAUCCUCCAUCGGAGGACAACAAAUGUUAAACUGAUUUUUGGAAAUGGGCGGAGUGUUUUAAGAGCUUGCUCCACCUCCACGCCGGGAUUUCGGCCCAAAUUAUUGAAUAAAUACAAGAAGAAAUAUACUAAU